GUAGUAGCGGCGAGCGAACCUGGAUUAGCCCUUAAGCACUCGGUGAAGUAGGUGAACAAGCUGGAAAGCUUGGCGAUACAGGGUGAUAGCCCCGUAACCGACGCUUCAUCGAGCGUGAAAUCGAGUAGGGCGGGACACGUGAUAUCCUGUCUGAAUAUGGGGGGACCAUCCUCCAAGGCUAAAUACUCCUGACUGACCGAUAGUGAACCAGUACCGUGAGGGAAAGGCGAAAAGAACCCCUGUGAGGGGAGUGAAAUAGAACCUGAAACCGUGUACGUACAAGCAGUAGGAGCACCUUCGUGGUGUGACUGCGUACCUUUUGUAUAAUGGGUCAGCGACUUAUAUUCAGUGGCAAGGUUAACCGUAUAGGGGAGCCGUAGCGAAAGCGAGUCUUAACUGGGCGCUCAGUCUCUGGAUAUAGACCCGAAACCGGGUGAUCUAGCCAUGGGCAGGUUGAAGGUUGAGUAACAUCAACUGGAGGACCGAACCGACUAAUGUUGAAAAAUUAGCGGAUGACUUGUGGCUAGGGGUGAAAGGCCAAUCAAACUCGGAGAUAGCUGGUUCUCCCCGAAAGCUAUUUAGGUAGCGCCUCGGACGAAUACUACUGGGGGUAGAGCACUGUUAAGGCUAGGGGGUCAUCCCGACUUACCAACCCUUUGCAAACUCCGAAUACCAGUAAGUACUAUCCGGGAGACACACGGCGGGUGCUAACGUCCGUCGUGGAGAGGGAAACAACCCAGACCGCCAGCUAAGGUCCCAAAGUAUUGCUAAGUGGGAAACGAUGUGGGAAGGCUCAGACAGCUAGGAUGUUGGCUUAGAAGCAGCCAUCAUUUAAAGAAAGCGUAAUAGCUCACUAGUCGAGUCGGCCUGCGCGGAAGAUGUAACGGGGCUAAGCAAUACACCGAAGCUGCGGCAAUGUCUUUUAGACAUUGGGUAGGGGAGCGUUCUGUAAGCCGUUGAAGGUGAAUCGUAAGGUUUGCUGGAGGUAUCAGAAGUGCGAAUGCUGACAUGAGUAACGACAAA
rnacentral:rRNA from 1 species